GGUGAUUAAAACUUUGCCAAAGAAAAUUUUCAGGGUCAGUCAUUUUCAUGCCUGAUAACAAGAUUUCCAUUAUGUAAUAGCUGAGCAACCGGGAUCAUCACAGAUUUUGAGGAAUUCGAUGACCAAAUUAUGCUAUCAGCACCAUCCAUGAGUACUAAAAUCCCAUUCCCAUCACUGAAGUAUCAGCAAGUCUGCAAGUGGAGUUUCUCUAUUAGCAACCCAUACAACUGUCCUAUUUGAUACUCCCUCCGUCCCAAAUUAAUUGCUCAGUUUUGACUUUUUUAAGUCAAAUUGACUAAUUUUAGAAUUAAUAAUUAAGCAUAUAUAAAUAUAUUUCUAAAAUUAUAAAAAUUGGGAUUAGUAAUAAAUUGUAUAUACUUUCUUUUGGUUAUAAUCUCUUCACCUAUAUUUUAGCAAAAAUAGUAAAAAGAUUAGUUUUAAAAAUGGUCAAUUUGACUUUAAAAAGUCAAAACUGAGCAAUUAAUUUGGGACGGAGGGAGUAUCUUCUUGUACCAUAUUCCCCAAGUAUUGAUUCUUGGAACUACCCGGGCUGAAAAAUCCCAAUUCAUACGCCAUUAGCUGAUUCAAUGGUACUAAUUCCAUCUCUUAUGGAGUGCAUUGGAGUUGGCUAUCGGUAUAGAGAAUAUCAAAAUGGAGCAAAACAAAAUGAUGCCAAUGCCUUCCAUUGAUCUGCUCAUUGAGUUACU
rnacentral:lncRNA from 1 species